UAUUACUGAAGCAUACAUUAAGAUGUAAAGGCCUCCAAUUCAUAAAUUCCUCCCCCUAUUUUUCAGAACGCAUCAAAGCAUUUAUGAAGAACUGGAAUGUAACACUUGCACAUUUAGUUGUGGCUGGAGUACUGAAUUCAGUGGCUUUUGGAUAUUUGCUACCUCAUGAAAACAUAAUCCAGAUGGCUGUCCUUUUUGGCCUUUAUCCCAUUCACCUUUUCCUCCAAUUCACAGGAACUUGGUCAUUCACAUACCUUGAUGGGAUCAACUGGGCUCAUCUGUGGAUGAGUACUGCUGUAACACAAAAAUUGAACUUAAGUAUAAAAAUCUUUAUAAAAAAAAAAUCUGUAUAAAAAAACUACAUUGAUGUUGUAUUUUUCAACAGAAGUGAUUGUUGAGCUGGUUGCUGGCUUGUGGAUGAAAAGACAUUUUUAACCAAAUGUACUACUUUUACAUAACACAUUUUAUAUUGAUCCGUGAUAUAAAAAGGCAUAUGUUUGCAUUACAAUCAGAAAACAGUACCUUCAAAUACUUAAAACAGGAUUCCCACCCACUGACAAUAUUUCAAAGCUUUCAAGAUACCUUGAAGCCUUUGAACAUUUACAACGUACAAGUACACAAAUUUGCACACUUUACUCCACAGGUGGGAC
rnacentral:lncRNA from 1 species